UACGGGGGGGGUAAGCGUUGUUCGGAAUUACUGGGCGUAAAGGGCUCGUAGGCGGCCAACUAAGUCAUACGUGAAAUCCCUCAGCUUAACUGGGGAACUGCGUGUGAUACUGGAUGGCUUGGAUUUGGGAGAGGGAUGCGGAAUUCCAGGUGUAGCGGUGAAAUGCGUAGAUAUCAGGAGGAACACCGAUGGCGAAGGCAGUUCUCUGGGACGUGACUGACGCUGAGACGCGAAAGCGUGGGGAGCAAACAGG
rnacentral:rRNA from 1 species